rnacentral:rRNA from 1 species
ACGGGGGGUGCAAGCGUUGUUCGGAAUUAUUGGGCGUAAAGCGCGUGUAGGCGGUUUGUUAAGUCUGAUGUGAAAGCCCCGGGCUCAACCUGGGAAGUGCAAUGGAAACUGGCAGACUUGAAUACGGGAGAGGUUAGCGGAAUUCCUGGUGUAGCGGUGAAAUCCUUAGAUAUGAGGAGGAACACCGGUGGCGAAGGCAGCUGACUGGACCGAUAUUGACGCUGAGGCGCGAAAGCGUGGGUAGCAAACAG